UUAAGUAAGGAAGGGCGUACGGCGAAUGCCUUGCCACUCGAAACUGAAGAAGGACGCGCCAAACUGCGAAAAGCUCCGUGAAGCUGUAAGGAAGCGAAGAAGCGGAGGUGUCCGAAUGGGGGAACCCGGCAGCAGACAUGAGCUGUCAUCUGCAGGUGAAUACAUGGCCUGCAAGAGAGGUACCCGGCGAACUGAAACAUCUAAGUAGCCGGAGGAAAAGAAAACAACAGUGAUUCCCUGAGUAGCGGCGAGCGAAAGGGGAGAAGCCCAAACCGGUCCGAGGGCCGGGGUUGAAGGACCAUGAUAUGGCAAGAACGAGGAUAGGAGAACGGGAUCGAAAGCCCGGCCGAAGAAGGUGAAAGCCCUGUAACCGAAAUCCAAGGGAAGCCUAAUGGGAUCCUGAGUACGGCGAGACACGAGAAAUCUUGUCGGAAGCAGGCGGGACCAUCCGCCAAGGCUAAAUAUAAACGAGUGAGCGAUAGUGAACCAGUACCGUGAGGGAAAGGUGAAAAGAACCGCGGGAGCGGAGUGAAAGAGAACCUGAAACCGUAUGCCUACAAGAAGUCAGAGCCCGUUAAGGGGUGAUGGCGUGCCUUUUGUAGAAUGAACCGGCGAGUUGCGACAGACUGCGAGGUUAAGGAGGAAAGACCGGAGCCGAAGCGAAAGCGAGUCUUAAUAGGGCGAAAGUAGGAUGUUGCAGACCCGAAACCGGGUGAUCUAGCCAUGAGCAGGUUGAAGUUGAGGUGAAACUCAAUGGAGGACCGAACCGACUACCGUUGAAAAGUUAGCGGAUGACUUGUGGCUAGGGGAGAAAUUCCAAUCGAACCCGGAGAUAGCUGGUUCUCCCCGAAAUAGCUUUAGGGCUAGCGUCGGAAAGAACCUUAGUGAAGGUAGAGCACUGAAUGUGUGAUGGCCCCAUCCCGGGGUACUGAAUACAAUCAAACUGCGAAUGUCAUUAAGGAUGUCCGGCAGUCAGACUGUGAGUGAUAAGGUCCAUGGUCAAGAGGGAAACAGCCCAGACCGCCAGUUAAGGUCCCAAAAUACAGGCUAAGUGGAAAAGGAUGUGGGGAUGCCCAGACAACUAGGAGGUUGGCUCAGAAGCAGCCAUCCUUUAAAGAGUGCGUAACAGCUCACUAGUCGAGUGACCCUGCGCCGAAAAUGUACCGGGGCUAAGCCUGAUACCGAAACUGCGGAUUGUAGGAAACUAUAGUGGUAGGGGAGCGUUGUAUACGAGCAGAAGCCGUACCGUGAGGAGCGGUGGAUUGUAUAGAAGUGAGAAUGCCGGUGUGAGUAGCGAGAUGUAGGUGAGAAUCCUACACACCGAAAGCCCAAGGAUUCCAGGGGAAGGUUCGUCCGCCCUGGGUAAGUCGGGACCUAACGCGAGGCCGAAAGGCGUAGUGGAUGGAAAGCAGGCGAAAGAUUCCUGCACCCGUAUAUGGAGCGAAGGAGUGACGGAGACGGAUAGUGUGACCCUCUUAAUGGAUUGAGGGCGAAGCGAAGCGGCUGGUUACCAGGCAAAUCCGGUAACUGAAAGGCUAGAGCGUGACAGGUAAGCGAAAUCUUAGGAAAGUAGCGAAGCACAUGAUGACGGCUUCCAGGAAAAGCUUCUGGCAAUGCAUAUGCGGCCCGUACCAAAACCGACACAGGUGGGCAGGGAGAGAAUCCCGAGGUGAGCGAGAGAACUGUUGCCAAGGAACUCGGCAAAAUGACUCCGUAAGUUAGCGAGAAGGAGUGCUUAAGCAAUUAAGCCGCAGUGAAGAGGCCCAAGCGACUGUUUAACUAAAACACAGCUCUCUGCGAAGUCGCAAGACGAAGUAUAGGGGGUGACACCUGCCCGGUGCUGGAAGGUUAAGAGGAUCUGUUAAGAGCGAUCUGAAGCAGUGAUCCGAAGCCCCAGUGAACGGCGGCCGUAACUAUAACGGUCCUAAGGUAGCGAAAUUCCUUGUCAGGUAAGUUCUGACCCGCACGAAAGGUGUAACGAUUUGGGCGCUGUCUCGGCAGCAGACUCGGUGAAAUCUUAGUACCUGUGAAAAUGCAGGUUACCCGCAACUAGACGGAAAGACCCCAUGGAGCUUUACUGCAGCCUGAUAUUGAAUUCUGGUCAUACAUGUACAGGAUAGGUGGGAGACAAAGAGACGUGCACGCCAGUGUACGAGGAGUCGACGUUGGGAUACCACUCUUGUGUGACCGGGGUUCUAACCUGGUAUCGAGAACAGGUACGGGGAGAGUGUCAGGUGGGCAGUUUGACUGGGGCGGUCGCCUCCUAAAGAGUAACGGAGGCGCCCAAAGGU
rnacentral:rRNA from 1 species